UACGUAGGUGGCGAGCGUUAUCCGGAUUUAUUGGGCGUAAAGCGUCCGCAGACGGCUUGUUAAGUCUAGAAUCAAAGCCCGGAGCUUAACUUCGGUUCGUUCUAGAAACUGGCAGGCUUGAGUAUAGUAGAGGCAAGUGGAAUUUCUAGUGUAGCGGUAGAAUGCGUAGAUAUUAGAAGGAACACCAGUGGCGAAGGCGACUUGCUGGGCUAUUACUGACGUUCAUGGACGAAAGCGUGGGGAGCAAAUAG
rnacentral:rRNA from 1 species